AUUAGAAGCGAAGGCUACUUAAAACCAUCGCGAACUCGUCCAAGUUGCUUCGGCGGCGCGGCCUCCCUCACGGGGGCGCCGCAGCCCCGCCUCUCCGGAGGUGUGGGGCGCCCGCCGGAGGUACGAAACUCUGUAUUAUAGUGGCAUCUCUGAGUAAAAAACAAAUAAGUUAAAACUUUCAACAACGGAUCUCUUGGUUCUGGCAUCGAUGAAGAACGCAGCGAAAUGCGAUAAGUAAUGUGAAUUGCAGAAUUCAGUGAAUCAUCGAAUCUUUGAACGCACAUUGCGCCCGCUAGUACUCUAGCGGGCAUGCCUGUUCGAGCGUCAUUUCAACCCUCAAGCCCUGCUUGGUGUUGGGGCCCUACGGCUGCCGUAGGCCCUGAAAGGAAGUGGCGGGCUCGCUACAACUCCGAGCGUAGUAAUUCAUUAUCUCGCUAGGGACGUUGCGGCGCGCUCCUGCCGUUAAAGACCAUCUUUAACUCAAGG
rnacentral:sRNA from 1 species